AGAGUUUGAUCCUGGCUCAGGAUGAACGCUGGCGGCGUGCUUAACACAUGCAAGUCGAACGAAGCACUUAUCUUUGAUUCUUCGGAUGAAGAGAUUUGUGACUGAGUGGCGGACGGGUGAGUAACGCGUGGGUAACCUGCCUCAUACAGGGGGAUAACAGUUAGAAAUGACUGCUAAUACCGCAUAAGACCACAGAGCCGCAUGGCUCGGUGGGAAAAACUCCGGUGGUAUGAGAUGGACCCGCGUCUGAUUAGGUAGUUGGUGGGGUAACGGCCUACCAAGCCAACGAUCAGUAGCCGACCUGAGAGGGUGACCGGCCACAUUGGGACUGAGACACGGCCCAAACUCCUACGGGAGGCAGCAGUGGGGAAUAUUGCACAAUGGGGGAAACCCUGAUGCAGCGACGCCGCGUGAGCGAAGAAGUAUUUCGGUAUGUAAAGCUCUAUCAGCAGGGAAGAAAAUGACGGUACCUGACUAAGAAGCACCGGCUAAAUACGUGCCAGCAGCCGCGGUAAUACGUAUGGUGCAAGCGUUAUCCGGAUUUACUGGGUGUAAAGGGAGCGUAGACGGCUGUGUAAGUCUGAAGUGAAAGCCCGGGGCUCAACCCCGGGACUGCUUUGGAAACUAUGCAGCUAGAGUGUCGGAGGGGUAAGUGGAAUUCCCAGUGUAGCGGUGAAAUGCGUAGAUAUUGGGAGGAACACCAGUGGCGAAGGCGGCUUACUGGACGAUGACUGACGUUGAGGCUCGAAAGCGUGGGGAGCAAACAGGAUUAGAUACCCUGGUAGUCCACGCCGUAAACGAUGACUACUAGGUGUCGGGGAGCAAAGCUCUUCGGUGCCGCAGCAAACGCAAUAAGUAGUCCACCUGGGGAGUACGUUCGCAAGAAUGAAACUCAAAGGAAUUGACGGGGACCCGCACAAGCGGUGGAGCAUGUGGUUUAAUUCGACGCAACGCGAAGAACCUUACCAAGUCUUGACAUCCCUUGACAGGCAUAGAAAUAUGUUUUCUCUUCGGAGCAAGGAGACAGGUGGUGCAUGGUUGUCGUCAGCUCGUGUCGUGAGAUGUUGGGUUAAGUCCCGCAACGAGCGCAACCCUUAUGGUCAGUUACUACGCAAGAGGACUCUGGCCAGACUGCCGUUGACAAAACGGAGGAAGGUGGGGAUGACGUCAAAUCAUCAUGCCCUUUAUGACUUGGGCUACACACGUACUACAAUGGCGUUAAACAAAGAGAAGCGAGACCGCGAGGUGGAGCAAAACUCAGAAACAACGUCCAGUUCGGACUGCAGGCUGCAAUUCGCCUGCACGAAGUCGGAAUUGCUAGUAAUCGUGGAUCAGCAUGCCACGGUGAAUACGUUCCCGGGCCUUGUACACACCGCCCGUCACACCAUGAGAGCCGGGGGGACCCGAAGUCGGUAGUCUAACCGCAAGGAGGACGCCGCCGAAGGUAAAACUGGUGAUUGGGGUGAAGUCGUAACAAGGUA
rnacentral:rRNA from 1 species